AGCAUCGAUUUCUGUAGGGGGAUAAAGACUUCGGGAAAGUAGCUUCCUUCGGGGAGUGUUAUAGCCCGCUGUGUAAUACCCUUACGGGGAUCGAGGUUCGCGCUUCUGCAAGGAUGCUGGCAUAAUGGUCAUCAGCGACCCGUCUUGAAACACGGACCAAGGAGUCGAACAUUUAUGCGAGUGUUUGGGUGUUAAACCCUCACGCGUAAUGAAAGUGAACGGAGGUGAGAGCUCUUAAGGGUGCAUCAUCGACCGAUCCUGAUGUCUUCGGAUGGAUUUGAGUAAGAGCAUAACUGUUCGGACCCGAAAGAUGGUGAACUAUGCGUGGAUAGGGUGAAGCCAGAGGAAACUCUGGUGGAGGCUCGCAGCGGUUCUGACGUGCAAAUCGAUCGUCAAAUCUGCGCAUGGGGGCGAAAGACUAAUCGAACCAUUAACGGAAACACCAGCGGUAAAUAAUUAUUUACUAGGUGGUUUAGAGGCCUCUCGCGAGAGCAGGUCUAGGUCGGCGCCUACCCGGGACCUAUCCGGGUAGCUACUCGGAAACUAUCCCAUAGUUGCUUACCCGGGAGCUACCCUGUAGUAACGGGUAGCCGACCGACACCGCUAAAUUGCGGGGACAUCCUAUAGAAGGCUCCGGGCUACCGCCGCACGCUGAAAAGCGCCUGCGGCACCAAGAGUAACGCUCUUGGGUACGGUAAGAACGCCCGGGGUAUCGGACGACCUGCAGCCAACCCCGUCAGCCCCGGUAGGGGGUCUAGGGGAGAGUUCACUGACUAAACAGCGGUGGGUCCCGCGGCGGGGUGUCGCGGGGCUUAAGACAUAGUCGAUCCGGGCCCUGAAAAGGUGACCCUGAAAGUAUAAUACUAGCGA
rnacentral:rRNA from 1 species